CGCAAGCCUGAUGCAGCCAUGCCGCGUGUGUGAAGAAGGCCUUCGGGUUGUAAAGCACUUUCAGUCGUGAGGAAGGUAGUGUAGUUAAUAGCUGCAUUAUUUGACGUUAGCGACAGAAGAAGCACCGGCUAACUCCGUGCCAGCAGCCGCGGUAAUACGGAGGGUGCGAGCGUUAAUCGGAAUUACUGGGCGUAAAGCGCAUGCAGGUGGUUUGUUAAGUCAGAUGUGAAAGCCCGGGGCUCAACCUCGGAAUUGCAUUUGAAACUGGCAGACUAGAGUACUGUAGAGGGGGUAGAAUUUCAGGUGUAGCGGUGAAAUGCGUAGAGAUCUGAAGGAAUACCGGUGGCGAAGGCGGCCCCCUGGACAGAUACUGACACUCAGAUGCGAAAGCGUGGGGAGCAAACAGGAUUAGAUACCCUGGUAG
rnacentral:rRNA from 1 species